UUUUAUGCGUCGAAAAUGGGUAAAAAUUGGCUGAGUACGACAAUAUGGCAACGCUGGACCGGCCGAGACCCAGACCAACAUGGCGCCGGAUUCUACCAGCUGUUCGUCACUCAAGAUAAACAAUUCGCGAUAGGAAGAGCGAUGUCGGAGGUCAGCGAUGUGGAGAAGGCUGUGAGGAGCUUGAAUGCAAACCUCUUUAGGCCCGGGGUCACGCAGGAGGAGAUCAGGGCUGGCUAUGAUGAGCUUUCCGAGACCUACGAUGAAGUGAUGCUCAGAAACACCCAGUACCACGCCCUCGACAUCACCGUGGAGGAGGUGCUGCGCCGGGUGACCCCAGAGAAGCGAGCCCAGACUAGGGUGUUGGACGUGGCUGCUGGGACCGGACGGGUUGGGCGUGAACUCUAUCGCGAAGGCUUCAGGCUCUUAGAUGCUGUUGAACCGUCGCAGGGCAUGAUCAAUAAGCUUCGGGAGUCUGGCGUCUAUACCAAUGACUUCAUGGAUUUUAUUGGCAGCGGGAACUCCUCCAUGCCCAAAGAUACCUAUGAUUUGCUGGUCAUCUCAGGGGGCAUGGGUGAAGGUCAUGUUCCGGUGAAUGCCCUUGAUGACCUGGUGCGCGCUGCCAAGGAAGGAGGCUUGGUGGUCAUCGUAAUGCGUCUGGAGUUCUUGGAGUCUGUGGCGGCCUACAGGGACAAGCUGGAGCCUUAUAUGGAUCAGCUGGAGGAGGAGGGGAAGUGGAGGAAGCAUGAUGGCCGAGGGGUAUGCCGUGAACCAGGCAGCGAAGAGGGUGAUCAAGGACGUCUUUGUACCAGGGAUUACGGCGCAGGAGGUGAAGGAUAUUUACGACAAACAGGCCAGCUAUUACGAUGAGAUGCUCCAAAACAGCAAUUUCCGCGCCCCCGCCAUCACCCUGGAGGAGGUGCUGCGUCGGGUGCCCCCAGAGAAGCGCGGCCAGACUAGGGUGCUGGACGUGGCCGCUGGGACGGGCUGGGUGGGCCGCGAACUCCACCGGGAAGGCUUCAGGGUGUUUGGUCACUAUCGCAUUGAAGCAUGAGUUCGUGGAGACCGUGGCGGCCUACAGGGGCAAGCUGGAGCCUUACAUGGAGCAGCUGGAGAAGGAGGGGAAGUGGAGGAAGGUUGAGCGGAGAGUCUUCCCUAACUAUAUGUUCGACAAGGAGGGCGUCAUCUUCGUCUUCCGCGUCACCAAGGAAUGAAGGAGGUGGAGGAAGGAAAGAAAGGAAGCAGAGAAGGGAUGGAAAGGAGGAGGAAUCGGAGAGACUC